CUUCACUCAACACUUGAGCUACAUCCAGUCCUCAGAAACCAUUGAGAAUUCACUAUGUAAUCAAUCAUAGAUUACAAACAACACAUCCACAAAGAGGUGACCUUGAAAACCACAAGACCCACUCACCCUCUUUCCAACCACAGACCUCUAGUCAGAACACCCUCUGACUUUAUAGGAUUUCACACACACCAAGAGUGAUGAUCUUGAACCACUCAAGAACACACACACCAAGAGUGAUGAUCUUGAACCACUCAAGAACACACACCACUCAUUGGCAAACACCACACCACUCCAAGAAUGUUGAUCUUGAUUCCCUCAAGAAUACACAACACUUCUUGGCAACACCAGUACAAAAAUACAAUUAUUAAGAAGGAAAGGAAUAGAAUACACCUUGGUAAAUCACAAUAUCAAAGAUCAGAAUACAAGACUCAAUCAUAUUCCACACAUUUGAGAUGAUCCAAAAGCUCUUUGAAAACUUGAAAACUCUCUUUGAUUGAUCUCUCUCACUUAGUUAAUGCACAAGAGCGUAAAACCACCUUUUUAUCUUUCAAUCAAAUGAUUAAAACAGUUACAACAAAAGCCCAAAAGCAGUUGGAAUAAUUUAAAACAGAACAACUACUUAACAAAAUUUUGUUAAGGUUUUUAGCAAAACAAUCAGUUGAUUUUUCAAAAUAAGCGAUUGAUUUUUAUUUGACAGCAUUAAAAUCCACUAAGUGUCAAAUAACCUGUUGUUUCGAAAUUUCAACCUGUUGAAAUUUGUUUCACAGCAAAGGCAAAGACAAAGCUUUCCCAAAUCAUUUAAAAACCUCUAAGUGUCAAACAACCUUUUGUUUCGAAAUUUCAAUCUGUUAAAAUUUGUUUCACAGCAAAGGCAAAGACAAAGCUUUUCCAAAUCAUUUUAAAAACCACUAAGUGUCAAACAACCUGUUGUUUCGAAAUUUCAACCUGUUAAAAUUUGUUUAACAGCAAAGGCAAAAGACAAAGUUUUUCCAAAUCAUUUUAAAAACCACUAAGUGUCAAAGAACUUGUUGUUUCGAAAUUUCAACCUGUUAAAAUUUUUUUGACAGCAAAGGUAAAGACAAAGAUUUUUCAAAUCAUUUUAAAAUCUAGUAAGUGUCAAAACAACCUGUUGAUUUGAAAUUUCAACUUGUUGAAAUUUCACUUCCUUUUAGAAAAUCCAUCUUUUCAAAAUGUUAAAGAUUCAAUUGAGCUUGGAUCAACUUAAGGAGUGAGUUAACAAGUUUCAAACAACUACACGCACACACAACAACAACAAGGUCUUCAAGCUUUCCACUUGGAUUUGGAGACAUCAAAACAUCUUGUUCAACAAUCUCCCCCUAUUUGAUGAAGACAAAUCCUUGGUUUGCUUGUGAUGUGCUUGUGAUGUUCUGUUUGAAUUUGUUAGUACCUGCAAAACAUAAUUUGUGCAUGUACCAGAAGUAAUCAUAUCCAUAUAUCAUUAGCACCACAUAACCAGUUUUCACUAGGUGAUUCUUAUAAGGAAAACUAGCAAAAUUAGUGUGAAAACAUGGUGCAAAAUUAGAGUUAUGCAGCAGCUAACUAAAUAAUAUAAACCCAGUUUUAAAACAGAUAUGUAACAGAGAUAUAGCAGCAUACAAACCAUAUAAUUCUCUCCCUAUUUGUCUUCUCAAAUAGAAUAGAAGAAGGGGUAAAACCAGAAUACCAGUGUGUGUAGCAACACCAUUGCAACAACAAACCUGUGAUACCAUAUCAAAAUUACAACAAAAAUCUAUGGUGUAUCAGAGUUAUGACAGCAACAGAAUCAAAGUACCAUAGACCCCAGAAAUUUCAGUAAGGAGACAACAAUUUCUCCCCCUAUCUUUUCUUCAUCCAACAAUACCCAUUAAUGGAGUACUUCAAAAGGUUAAUCUUCAAGUUGGUCAAAUGAUUGCUCAAGAGGUGGAUUUGGUAGAAAUAUUCUCUCUUCUGUUAAGAGCAAACCUUCCAGACGUUCGAAAGAUACAUUCACAAAUAUUCAUCAACCCCAUGACCACCAAUGUGGUUGCCAUUCAUAAAAAGCUUUGAAUUUAAAGGAAAACAAAGAAUACAUCUUUUUAUUAUCUGAUUUAGAGGCAUAGUAAAUGAAUUUUUGACCCACAAUGGGUUUUAAAAGAAAAGAAACAGUUGUAAUCAUGCAUAAGAAUUCAUAACAGUUUUAUUCAAAUGUGCUAGAGGUAAAACAAUCGGUUGUUUCGUGAAAACAAUCGGUUGUUUUUCUGAGACAACAAGAAAAUGUUAUUUUUCAAAGCUAAUCAUCUUUCAAAGUGAUGAGAAAUGCAUAAUGAAAUACAUUCAUACCUUUGCAUAACCUCAAUAUUUUUACCAGUCUCAAUUUUCUAUAUGUUCAACAAUAAUAAAAUAAGUAUAAUGUGGCAGAAAUUGUAAUAUAUUAAAAUAGAGAGCACAAUAUAAGUAAACAAAUACCAAAUUAUUUCUUCUUCUUGACAAAGACAUAGCACCACCAGU
rnacentral:lncRNA from 1 species